rnacentral:lncRNA from 1 species
GGAGAGCUCUGAAGUCUUCUCUGAGAUUUUCAAAGAAGUCACCUGCACCGGUGCCCGUGACGUACGAGCUGCCCACACUGUAUAGGACGGAGGACUAUUUUCCUGUGGACGCCGGGGAAGCACAGCACCACCCCCGCACCUGCCCUCGGCCUUUGUGAGCUUUGUGGUCUUCCCAUCAGGAACGCUGGAAAGUGACAUUGUGUACACACUGCAGCUUGGGGGUUUUUUCUUUGUAUUGCUGUUUAUUUUAUAUUUUAAAAAUAUUUAAAAAAAUGUCGAGAUGGGGUCUCACUAUGUUGUCCAGACUGAUCUCAAACUCCUGGGCUCAAGUGAUCCACCCACCUUGGCCUUCCAAAGUGGUGGGAUUAUGGGCAGGAGCCUCCGUGCCCAGGCUGCUGCCAUUUUCAAAUUUCCUCCCUGCCUCAUGUGAGACCACAGGGUUUGGAGAAGCAGUUGGAACCCACGUGUGGUGAUGCCUCCCACAUCGGCCUGCUUGGGGUUCUACAGGGGUUGAGGGACCAGGCCUGGCCGGGGCUGAUGGACAGUGGGGACUUUCCUUCUCUCCAUGAUGGCUUUGCAGGGGCUCCAUGGUCCUUCUCUCUGUGAUGGGUUUUUGCACGGGGUGUGCUCUGCCACUGUGGUGGGUGGGUGGAUGCUGCUUCUGUUGCCUCCAGACCUCGGUGCCCACAGCCUUGAGGAUCCUUCCAAUAAAGGUGUCAAGAGCUC